rnacentral:rRNA from 1 species
GACGAACGCUGGCGGCGCGCCUAACACAUGCAAGUCGAACGGAGUCAAGAGGAGCUUGCUUUUCUUGACUUAGUGGCGCACGGGUGAGUAACGCGUGAGUAACCUGCCCUGGAGUGGGGGACAACAGUUGGAAACGACUGCUAAUACCGCAUAAGCCCACGGAUCUGCAUGGAUCUGCGGGAAAAGGAUUUAUUCGCUCUAGGAUGGACUCGCGUCCAAUUAGCUAGUUGGUGAGGUAACGGCCCACCAAGGCGACGAUUGGUAGCCGGACUGAGAGGUUGAACGGCCACAUUGGGACUGAGACACGGCCCAGACUCCUACGGGAAGCAGCAGUGGGGGAUAUUGCACAAUGGGGGAAACCCUGAUGCAGCGACGCCGCGUGGAGGAAGAAGGUUUUCGGAUUGUAAACUCCUGUCGUUAGGGACGAUAAUGACGGUACCUAACAAGAAAGCACCAGCUAACUACGUG